CUGGCGGCGCGUCUUAAGCAUGCAAGUCGAACGGCAAGAGGUAGCAAUACCUCCUAGAGUGGCGGACUGGUGAGUAACACGUGGGUGACAUACCCUUCAGAUGGGGAUAGCUAUUAGAAAUAGUAGAUAAUACCGAAUACGAGCACAGGGGUUAGAGAUCUGUGAGGAAAGGAGCUAAGGCUCCGCUGAAGGAAUGGCCUGCGGCCCAUUAGCUAGUUGGUGAGGUAAGAGCCCACCAAGGCGAUGAUGGGUAUCCGGCCUUAGAGGGUGAACGGACACAUUGGGACUGAGAUACGGCCCAAACUCCUACGGGAGGCAGCAGCUAAGAAUAUUCCGCAAUGGACGAAAGUCUGACGGAGCGACGCCGCGUGGAUGAAAGAAGGCCGGAAGGUUGUAAAAUCCUUUUGCUGAUGAAGAAUAAGUGUGGUAGGGAAUGACCGCAUGAUAACAUUAGUCGGUGAAUAAGCCCCGGCUAACUACGUGCCAGCCGCCGC
rnacentral:rRNA from 1 species